rnacentral:lncRNA from 10 species
GCUUAGAGAACAGGAAGUGGGAGCCACAUACCCCGAGCUGGCGGCUUGAGCCUGUGGUAUCUAGGCUCACCUCACUGCGGUUGGUGGAGGUGAUGGAGGUUGCAGCUUGGCCAGCAUGGUAGAAAGGUGGCAGGGUAGACUCUAGAUUCUAGAGGGCAACCUCUGUUUGCUCAUGCUGGAGCGUGGCAGGUGCACAAUGUUUCCUUGGGAAUCCUCAGCAGGGCACGUCUGGCUUUUACCACCCAGUUGCUUCGAGCCAGGAGAUGGAGGAGUCAUCUGUUGCACGCUGGAGGCUGGAGCCUGCAGAUGGCAUGGUUCUGUGGCUCACCUCGCUGCAGUUGGUGGCAGAGACAGAGACUGCAGCUUGACCAGAGUGGUGGAGUGAGUAUUGUCAUCUGCAUGAGCAAAUCUGGUUCAUCACAUCUUUGCAACAGGAAAAGGAAGGGAGGAUCAUGUGUAUAAUGUUUUAAGGCCAAGAUUCACAACAAGAACAAAGUCUUUAUUAACUUUUGCCUUCAAGAACCUGCAGUGUUGAGCCCUUUUUUAUUUCUGGUAUUACU